AAAACCCUAGCUCCCUCUUCCGUUCCUCCCCGAACACCAAAACCCUCUCGCUAUAUCUCCGUGUAUAAGUAGGUGGCGAGUCGAUAGAAGUAUCAGCAGCACUAAUAUUUUGGGGGGGAUCGUUGGGUUGGGGUAGGGCUAGUCUUCUAGUCUUCUAGUUCUAUGAUUCAGUUCUAUCUUCCUUUUCUCCUUUUUCUGUAUUUUUAGGUAAAUCGAAAGCCUGUUGGAGCAUGUGAAUUUUCCUCCAUCCAUAUUGUUUGUGAUUUUAUUUUCUGCGUUUGGGCCUAUGAUUAAAUUUCAUUAAAACAUUGACAAGCAUAUGUCUGAAUUUAUGCUGUGUUGACAGAUCUAAUCUUCUCAAUGAGGCCCUCUACGUUUCUUCUGGUCUGUUUUUAUUUUGGGGUUUUCUUUUCGAGUGUGUGCUCUCUCUGUUCAUUUCAAGCAAAACUUUGGUUAACAUGAUGAUUAUUUUUUAUUUAUCAUCGUGAUUUUUUAAAAAAAUUCCGUUUGGAGUUUCCUUUUGUUUUCUCAAAAUGCUUUCUUUUUCUUUUUAAGAUGAACGUAAUAGAAGAAUGCCAAUGAUGAUUUACAGUGAUGAUGUUAUGUAUGAGAAAUCAGGGAUUACAACACCACUCUACUGCCUUCCUUCUGAGGCAAUACUACUUUAUUCUUACUCUAUUCCCUUUUUUUUCAUCUCUUUUUGUUUUUUGUUUUUUUAAAUUUUUUCAAGCUACGUUUUAGAUUCUCACUUUAGCUACGUUUAAGUUUGAUUCUUCAUUAACCAGAAGGUAUAACACAGGGCUACUUUUUCAAACUUGUUUUAGACAAGGAAUUAAUCGAGUCAUGGGAGAUUGUGAAGUCAGGUGAUGAUCAGAAGCAUAGUUCAAAUGAUAAAUCAUUUUUUAACGUGAUUAUAAAAUUUCUGAAGUCUUUCGCUCCUAUCUGAUGGCACUUCUGACUCCCAUGAAAUUAUUCCAUUUAGCUCUUUAAUUUUUUUUUCUUUUUUCUUUUCCUUCAUUAAUGGUUAAUCAAAAAGUAUCGUCGCUGUUUGUAGUAUUUCUUUGUUCUGGAAUAUUGCAGAAGAUUUUUUUUUUUUUGAGGGAAAGAGUUACAGAAGAUUCAACUUUUUCCCUCUUUUGGGGACAGUGAUGAAUGAAUCAUAUUGGUCUCGUUCGGCGUAAUGGUGUUCAAUGCGAAUACCUUGCCGACCAUCCUGAUAUAUCACCACCCAUAAACUGAGUCCCCCAACUCAAAAUUUGUAUUUUUGUUUUCUGAGUUCUUUAACAUUUUAAACCUUGAAAGCUCCUGAAUUUGUCUGCAAUACCAUGUUGCUGUCCGAGUCUAAUGGCCCCAAAUCGUGCAACUUUAAAGAGAAACUGUACAGAAUGCUAAAAAUAAUUUAGUGGCAGUUCAGCAAAAUAAAUGGAUGAGCUUGGUAUCAGAUAAUGGAAGUAUGCAAACGAAGAUGAUACGGAACAAUAGAUGCUGCAUAUGCUGUGUGAGGACAGACAUCAGGUUGGAAAAACGAAGUCGAUGAAAACCAUGGCAGAAACACAAGUAAAAGAACCAAAAAAAAAAGAGCGCUUCUCUCUCUCCUGGUUCUAAGGCCAUUAGAAAAGAAAACAAUCAAACCAAGAAAAAGGCCGAUGAUAUGGCAUAAUUUGGAUCUCACAAUUGGGUGAAAAAAAA